rnacentral:rRNA from 1 species
GACGUAGGGGGCAAGCGUUGUUCGGAAUUACUGGGCGUAAAGCGUGCGUAGACGGUUGCGUAAGUCGGAUGUGAAAUCCCCGGGCUCAACCUGGGAAUUGCAUUCGAGACUGCGUAGCUGGGGUGCGGAAGAGGGAAGCGGAAUUUCCGGUGUAGCGGUGAAAUGCGUAGAUAUCGGAAGGAACAUCAGUGGCGAAAGCGGCUUCCUGGUCCAGCACCGACGUUCAGGCACGAAAGCGUGGGGAGCAAACAGG